rnacentral:lncRNA from 1 species
AUACUGGUAAUACAUCAACUGUUUGUUUGUGUUUAGUCCCUUACUGGUUGAAAACUAGUGUUGGGGGACUUUAGGAUUGAGCUUUUCUGUUCAUCAUUUUAUCCAUCCGACUGUCUGUCUAUAAUUUUGUGUCCCGUCCAUAACUCUGUCAUCCAUCAAGGGAUUUUUAUAUUACUUCCAAUAGUGAGAAAAUGUGUCUUGCACAAUACCUAGACCCCUUACUAAAAAGGUCAAGGUCACAAUUGGAAGUCAAAGGUCAACAGGGCUUUUUUCUUGUCCAGUCUGUAACUCAUCAAGGAAUAUUAAUAUUACUUGACACAAAUGUUUUCCAUAACAAGACCAUUAAUUUUGUCAUGUUACCUGAGGUAAUUAGAGGGGCAAAAAACAACAACAAAAAAACAACAGGAACAGGAAUCAUGUAAUUACUUGUCAACUUCAGAACGAGGCUAGUUUUUGUGGAAUUCUACAGAGUUUUUUCUUACAGAUUUAAUUUCAAGAAAUUUGUCUUUCAAUUACAAAUAUCAUCAAAUAAUACAGACAGUUGAUGGAAGGAAUAUUUCUUCUUUACAACUGGAUAAUUUCUAUCAUGUAAAAGGGAAUCUACGAGGGAGAUUUCUGGAAUGGGGAGCGGCUUGGCAAGUGACCUGAUGGAACAGCGCACUGUGCUGGGUGGAAGUCGUGACGCUGCAUAUGUGCAAAUGGAUAAAAACAAAAUAGAUCGAUUUAUAAAACGGGGCGAGGAGAUUCUGGACAAGUUUGUCUCGUCAAUACGAGCAUUUGAGGGACAAACGCUCAAAAUUAAAGAUCUUUCGACAUCAGUUGACCAAAUUCAGUUGGAACUAAAAUGAAAGAAGAUUCUGCGCCAAACAAACGGGCCCAAACGGAUGUCGAUCUGGUUUUGGAUGAAUCUGAUUCAGAUACGGAUGAUGUGCAUCAGCUGAUGCAAGGUGGGAGGCAGAAGUUGUGUUCGGAUGUUGACGUUAAGGAUGCUUUAGUGGAUAUUUAGACGAUUUCUUUGUUGAAGAAACAGAAACAUCAGGGGACAUCUAUCAAUAAGUGGCUGCAACUCUAAACAAAAACCUUAGAAAACAGAAGAUAGAUCACAAGAAAAUGAAAGAACUGAAUGAUAAGUACAGAAGACCCAACAAUGUGGAAUGCCUGCAAGUCCCCAAAGUCGAUCGGUUUUUAUGGAACCAAUUGAAAAACCAAAUAAAGACCACAGCUGUAUCAAAACAAUACAUGAUUGAUAAUCUUAACAAAAUUGCAUGUCCUUUAAUUGCUGCUAUGGACCACUGCUAACAUAAUGAUAAGCCGGACGCUACGAUUUUAAAGGAAUGCAUUGGGGAUGCAUUUAAGCUGGUAUGUGGCUCCAUCAACAAAAUCAACAUCCAAAAACGGGAACAGACCAAGAAAGAAUUGGACCCGAGGUUUUAAAGUUUGUGCACAGCAGAGACACCAAUGUCUGCCACAGGACUUUUUGGGGAUAAUUUGCAGGAACAGUGUAAACAGCUUGAUACGUCCAGACAAAUCAAAAUGACGAAUAAGAUGGAUUUUUUUAGGACAAGGGAGGGGGAACAGCAAAUCCAGUCUGUUUGCCCCUCACCAAGUGUAUACAUAGAGCCAUCAAGGUUAUCAAACCACAAGUGGGAUGGGGAAAAAUUAUUCCGGGAAGAAAAAUUUCGGACAGAAAUCCUGAAACUUCGGCAGGAAUUUGCCAAAGAAAGGUCAUGCUCCACUGAAAAAACAUUAACUCUUGACUGGUCAAUUUCUUCAGAAGAUCUUCCAGGACAGAGCAGAAGUUGUACUCAUAGCACCAAUUUGGAUGACACAGGGCUGGCUGGCUCUCUUACUCCACUUGCUAAGUCAGCAGAGCUACUUUCUUCCGUCGUCGCAGAAGAUACGAGCACUCCGGCACAGGCCGAAUCGGAAACACCCCCUUAAGAAAAUGGUUUUGGGUGCUUUCCGAUUAUCAGUGAAGCCCUCCAUGAACAAGGCCUAUUGGAGCAAGCUGCCGGAAUCAUCAUUGACAGCUGGAGAACAUUAUGCCACAUUCAUCAAAUGGUGGAUACGAUUUUGUCAUAGAAAAUCGGUGGAUCAAGUUAAUCCCUCUGUGAAAGACGUUAUACACUUCCUUACCACAUUAUAUCAUCCUAGUUUAGGAUACAGAACCUUGGGUACUGCAAGGGCUGCAGUUAAUGCAUUCAUUACACUGUGUAGUGGAACUGAUUACAGCUCAUGCAAUUUGUUAAAGAAAUUUAUGAAAGGUAUUUUUCAUAAUUGUCCAAAUUUAUGGAAAUCGGCUGUUG